rnacentral:tRNA from 1 species
GACUCCGUAGCUCAGCUGAUAGAGCAAUUGACUCUUAAUCAAUGGGUCGUGGGUUCGAGUCCCACCGGGGUCA